GACGGACGCUGGCGGCGCGCCUAACACAUGCAAGUCGAACGAGCGAGAGAGAGCUUGCUUUCUUGAGCGAGUGGCGAACGGGUGAGUAACGCGUGAGGAACCUGCCUCAAAGAGGGGGACAACAGUUGGAAACGACUGCUAAUACCGCAUAAGCCCACGGUGCCGCAUGGCACAGAGGGAAAAGGAGCAAUCCGCUUUGAGAUGGCCUCGCGUCCGAUUAGCUAGUUGGUGAGGUAACGGCCCACCAAGGCGACGAUCGGUAGCCGGACUGAGAGGUUGAACGGCCACAUUGGGACUGAGACACGGCCCAGACUCCUACGGGAGGCAGCAGUGGGGAAUAUUGCACAAUGGGGGAAACCCUGAUGCAGCGACGCCGCGUGGAGGAAGAAGGUCUUCGGAUUGUAAACUCCUGUUGUUGGGGAAGAUAAUGACGGUACCCAACAAGGAAGUGACGGCUAACUACGUG
rnacentral:rRNA from 1 species